UUACUUCUGUUCCUGAUCAUCA
rnacentral:miRNA from 1 species